rnacentral:rRNA from 1 species
CCUACGGGAGGCAGCAGUGAGGAAUAUUGGUCAAUGGGCGUAAGCCUGAACCAGCCAAGUCGCGUGAGGGAUGAAGGUCCUAUGGAUCGUAAACCUCUUUUAUAAGGGAAUAAAGCGCGGGACGUGUCCCGUUUUGCAUGUACUUUAUGAAUAAGGAUCGGCUAACUCCGUGCCAGCAGCCGCGGUAAUACGGAGGAUCCGAGCGUUAUCCGGAUUUAUUGGGUUUAAAGGGUGCGUAGGCGGCCUUUUAAGUCAGCGGUGAAAGUCUGCGGCUCAACCAUAGAAUUGCCGUUGAAACUGGGAGGCUUGAGUAUAUUUGAGGUAGGCGGAAUGCGUGGUGUAGCGGUGAAAUGCUUAGAUAUCACGCAGAACCCCGAUUGCGAAGGCAGCCUGCCAAGCCAUGACUGACGCUGAUGCACGAAAGCGUGGGGAUCGAACAGGAUUAGAUACCCUGGUAGUC